ACCGGCGCACGGGUGCGUAACGCGUAUGCAACCUACCCUUUACUGCGGGAUAGCCCGGGGAAACCCGGAUUAAUACCGCAUGGUACCAAUUGAGGGCAUCUAAAGAUGGUUAAAGAUUUAUCGGUAAAGGAUGGGCAUGCGUGACAUUAGUUAGUUGGUGAGGUAACGGCUCACCAAGACGACGAUGUCUAGGGGGUCUGAGAGGAUGAUCCCCCACACUGGCACUGAGAUACGGGCCAGACUCCUACGGGAGGCAGCAGUAGGGAAUAUUGGUCAAUGGGCGCAAGCCUGAACCAGCCAUGCCGCGUGCAGGAAGACGGCCUUCUGGGUUGUAAACUGCUUUUAUCAGGGAACAAAAAGCUCCUGCGGGAGAAAUUGCGUGUACCUGAAGAAUAAGGACCGGCUAACUCCGUGCCAGCAGCCGCGGUAAUACGGAGGGUCCAAGCGU
rnacentral:rRNA from 1 species